CGCGAAUGGCUCAUUAAAUCAGCUAUGGUUCCUUAGAUGGUAAUACUUCAUGGAUAACUGUAGUAAUUCUAAUGCUAAUACAUGCCACUAUGCCCUGACCCGCAAGGGAACGAGUGGAUUUAUUAGAACAGAACCAACCGGGAGCGGUUUCGGCCGUUCCUGUUGAACUCUGUGAUGACUCUGGAUAACUUUAAUGAUCCCAGUCGGCCUUGUGUCGGCGACGGAUCUUUCAAAUGUCUGCCCUAUCAACUUUCGAUGGUAGGUGAUCUGCCUACCAUGGUGAUAACGGGUAACGGGGAAUCAGGGUUCGAUUCCGGAGAGGGAGCCUGAGAAACGGCUACCACAUCCAAGGAAGGCAGCAGGCGCGAAAAUUACCCACUCUCCGAACGAGGAGGUAGUGACGAAAAAUAUGGAUACGGGACUCCGUUGAGGCUUCGUAAUCCGAAUGAGUACAAUUUAAAUCCUUUAACGAGGACCAAUUGGAGGGCAAGUCUGGUGCCAGCAGCCGCGGUAACUCCAGCUCCAAUAGCGUAUAUUAAAAUUGUUGCUGUUAAAAAGCUCGUAGUUGGAUCUGGGUUGUGUGAUCGCAUGCCGUUUCUUGUUCACUUCGAUCUGGCAUUGUCUGGGGGCGGUGAGCAAGUCGGUGUGGUGGUUGUGCAAUCUUUCAGUCGUGUCUGUGAUAAACAGGUGUCAGUAGGCAAGUGGGAUAUAAAUCUCACGAGCUUGUUGGCAUGUCCCCAUAUGCUCUUAACCGGGUGUGUGGGGCGGGCGACAUCUUUACUUUGAACAAAUUUGAGUGCUCAAAGCAGGCUAUUGUGCCUGAAAAGUUUUGCAUGGAAUAAUGGAAUAGGACUUCGGUUCUAUUUUGUUGGUUUUCGGAUCCGAGGUAAUGGUUAAGAGGGACAGACGGGGGCAUUUGUAUGGCGGCGUUAGAGGUGAAAUUCUGAGAUCGUCGCCAGACAGACUGCAGCGAAAGCAUUUGCCCAAGAAUGUUUUCCUUGAUCAGGAGCAAAAGUUAGAGUUUCGAAGACGAUCAGAUACCGUCGUAGUUCUAACCAUAAACGAUGCCGACUGACGAUUCGCAAUGGUUUUUUGAUUGGCCUUGCGAGCAGUCCCCCGAGAAAUCUGAAGUCAGGUUCAGGGGGGAAUACGGUUGCAAAGCUGAAACUUAAAGGAAUUGACGGAAGGGCACCACCAGGAGUGGAGCCUGCGGCUUAAUUCGACUCAACACGGGAAAACUCACCCGGGCCGGACACUGUAAGGAUUGACAGAUUGAUAGCUCUUUCUUGAUUUGGUGGAUGGUGGUGCAUGGCCGUUCUUAGUUGGUGGAGCGAUUUGUCUGGUUAAUUCCGAUAACGAACGAGACUUUCACCUGCUAAAUAGUACUCCCGUCCUCUGUGCUCGUUCAGGUCAUGGCUUCUACUGCUUCCUUAUCGGGAGUGGUGAGGUUUUGUACCGGCGGGUUCGGUGCGGGUGUUUACUUGUUAGAGGGACAAGCGGCGUCCAAAAUAGCCGUACGAAAUAGAGCAAUAACAGGUCUGUGAUGCCCUUAGAUGUCCGGGGCCGCACGUGCGCUACAAUGACGGUGCCAAUGAGUCUGUAUCCUGGCCCGAAAGGGUUGGGAAAACUGUUAAUCACCGCCGUGAUUGGAAUCGGGGCUUGCAAUUGUUCCCCGUGAACGAGGAAUUCCUAGUAAGCGUGAGUCAUAA
rnacentral:rRNA from 1 species